UACAGAGGGUGCAAGCGUUAAUCGGAAUUACUGGGCGUAAAGCGUGCGUAGACGGUCACAUAAGUCGGGUGUGAAAGCCCCGGGCUCAACCUGGGAAUUGCAUUCGAGACUGCGUAGCUAGGGUGCGGAAGAGGGAAGCGGAAUUUCCGGUGUAGCGGUGAAAUGCGUAGAUAUCGGAAGGAACACCAGUGGCGAAAGCGGCUUCCUGGUCCAGCACCGACGUUCAGGCACGAAAGCGUGGGGAGCAAACAGG
rnacentral:rRNA from 1 species